rnacentral:rRNA from 1 species
UACGAAGGGGGCUAGCGUUGUUCGGAUUUACUGGGCGUAAAGCGCACGUAGGCGGAUCGAUCAGUCAGGGGUGAAAUCCCAGAGCUCAACUCUGGAACUGCCUUUGAUACUGGCGAUCUCGAGUCCGGGAGAGGUGAGUGGAACUGCGAGUGUAGAGGUGAAAUUCGUAGAUAUUCGCAAGAACACCAGUGGCGAAGGCGGCUCACUGGCCCGGUACUGACGCUGAGGUGCGAAAGCGUGGGGAGCAAACGGG